GGCGGCGUAGCUCAGAGGUAGAGCGAGGGAUUCAUAACCCCUAGGUCCGUGGUUCAAGUCCACGCGCCGCUACCA
rnacentral:tRNA from 1 species